GAUUAACGCUGGCGGCGUGCAUAACACAUGCGAGUCGAACGAUGAAACUUUACUGACUUCUUCGGAAUGAUUUAAAGCGGAUUAGUGGCGAACGGGUGAGUAACGCGUGAGUAACCUGCCUUACACAAGGGGAUAGCCUCUGGAAACGGAGAAUAAUACCCUAUGAAACCAGACAAUCGCAUGAUAAUCUGGUCAAAAUGUUUAGUGGUGUAAGAUGGACUUGCGUCUGAUUAGCUAGUUGGUGAGAUAAAAGCUCACCAAGGCAACGAUCAGUAGCCGGCUUGAGAGAGUGUACGGCCACAUUGGGACUGAGACACGGCCCAGACUCCUACGGGAGGCAGCAGUGGGGAAUUUUGCACAAUGGGGGAAACCCUGAUGCAGCGACGCCGCGUGAUUUAGAAGGCCUUCGGGUUGUAAAAAUCUUUUGUAUAGGAAGAAAAUGACAGUACUAUACGAAUAAGGUCCGGCUAAUUACGUG
rnacentral:rRNA from 1 species